rnacentral:rRNA from 1 species
UACGAAGGGGGCGAGCGUUGUUCGGAUUUACUGGGCGUAAAGGGCGCGUAGGCGGCGAUCCAAGUUAGGCGUGAAAGCCCCGGGCUUAACCUGGGAAUUGCGCUUAAGACUGGACUGCUUGAGUGCGGGAGAGGUGAGUGGAAUUCCCAGUGUAGAGGUGAAAUUCGUAGAUAUUGGGAAGAACACCAGUGGCGAAGGCGGCUCACUGGCCCGCAACUGACGCUGAGGCGCGAAAGCGUGGGGAGCAAACAGG